rnacentral:lncRNA from 1 species
UUAAUUGGAAAUAGACCUAGUGGCUUUGAUCUUGUCCGGAUCGAAAGCGUGGCUUGGAUUCUAGAUAUUGAAUCGGAAAGCGGUGAAACGUUGGGUUCACAUGGAGGUACCACAUGCAUAGAGUCACAUGUCUUGCAUUGAGUCACAUUAGAGUUAUGUGAUAAUUGAAUUUAUGCAUUGAUGUGAUUGUCAUGUGUGUAUGAGAUAUGGUAAUUGAAUUUGGUGAUGUUUGGAUACAUAAC